rnacentral:lncRNA from 1 species
GUCCAGGGCACCACGGCAUGCCCCUGGGGCCACCCACGAAACCUGUGAGCCACUCAAGGCCAGGUCCAGCCCAUGAGUCCUCUGGUCCACCCUCUGCCUCUGCCAUAUGCACCGGGACGGCCAGCCCUUCCUCCCCACCUGUGCCUGCUUCUGAGCCAAAGCCAUGACACCUGCCCUUCCCUUGCAGGGAGGCUGCCUCACCAAGCUACCUGCUACUCAUGGGGGCGAUGGGCAUCAGGGUGGCCUGCCUGGAGCUUCCCUUUGCAACCAAGGUUGAUUCCCACAGUCAGUCUCUCCCCCAGAGAACACGAAGGAAGAUGCCUGAGGGACAACAUGAACUUGUCAGGAACAGGGGCCUGGGAGGAGUGCGGAUGUGGGCUCAGGUACGCGCAUGCACCUUGAGUGUGUGCAUGUGGGGGUCAGUGUGCAAGCCUGCCGUGGUGUGUGUGGGUCCGUGGGGGUCCCCAUGUUCCCGGGUCUAUGUGGGUGGGGUGGUAUGCACUAUGUGUGUUUAGGGUGCUUGUGCAUGUGUGACUGUGUACAUAUCUGCAUUCAUUCCUCUGUGUGUGCGUCUGUGUGUGUCUGUGUGUGUGU